GAUGAACGCUGGCGGCGUGCCUAAUACAUGCAAGUCGAGCGAACGGACGAGAAGCUUGCUUCUCUGAUGUUAGCGGCGGACGGGUGAGUAACACGUGGAUAACCUACCUAUAAGACUGGGAUAACUUCGGGAAACCGGAGCUAAUACCGGAUAAUAUUUUGAACCGCAUGGUUCAAAAGUGAAAGACGGUCUUGCUGUCACUUAUAGAUGGAUCCGCGCUGCAUUAGCUAGUUGGUAAGGUAACGGCUUACCAAGGCAACGAUGCAUAGCCGACCUGAGAGGGUGAUCGGCCACACUGGAACUGAGACACGGUCCAGACUCCUACGGGAGGCAGCAGUAGGGAAUCUUCCGCAAUGGGAGAAAGCCUGACGGAGCAACGCCGCGUGAGUGAAGAAGGUCUUCGGAUCGUAAAACUCUGUUAUUAGGGAAGAACAUAUGUGUAAGUAACUGUGCACAUCUUGACGGUACCUAAUCAGAAAGCCACGGCUAACUACGUG
rnacentral:rRNA from 1 species